AUGCAAGUCGAACGGGGAUAACAAUACCUAGUGGCGCUUCGGUGAGUAAUGCAUAGUUACCUGCCUCAUAAUCUGGGACAACAGUUGGAAACGACUGCUAAUACCGGAUAUUCCCUACGGGGGAAAGAUUUAUUGGUGUGAGAUGGGCCUAUGUCCUAUCAACUUGUUGGUGAGGUAAUGGCCCCCCCCCGCUAUGAGGGGUAUCUGGUUUGAGAAGAUGAU
rnacentral:rRNA from 1 species